rnacentral:rRNA from 1 species
UGAGGAACAUGACCUUCGGCGGGGGAUAGCCGGCCCAACGGCCGGGUAAUACCGCGUACGACCACAUGGGGACAUCCCCGAGUGGUGAAAGCAGCAAUGCGCCGAUGGAGUGCCUCGCGGCCUAUCAGCUAGUUGGUGAGGUAACGGCUCACCAAGGCGACGGACGGGUAGCUGGUCUGAGAGGAUGGCCAGCCACAGUUGGGACUGAGACACGGCCCAGACCUCCGUAGGGACGA